rnacentral:lncRNA from 1 species
GAAACUCUAAUCUCUUACCCUUUACCCACCUUCACUUCAUCUCCGUCCAUAUCUACCGCCCACCCCACCUGCACCUCCAUCCUUGUCCUUAUCCUAUUUCACCCAUCUCUUCUUUCUUUCACCUUAAUGUGAUGUUCCUGCUUCUUUCUUCUCCUUCCUUCACCCUAAUCCAAAGACACUUGUCAGAAUUUUUAUUUGAUCCUCUCCGAUUAAGCUUAUCUGAAUAUCUCCCGCCGAUUAGAAUCUCCCCUUAGCACUUCCAUCUCCGUUCUCCCUUCAUCAAGCUCAGUAAGAGGUCAUGGAUAUUGAGGCGAGUUCGGGAACGAGCAGCUCUUCUAAUUACUAUCGACUGAUGGUUGAAUCCAGGGUAAGGAGCUCACACAAUUGUGAAGCCUCGAUUAAGGUUGCUGGUACUCGGGUGAACAAGGGUCGUCCCUUUCUUCGAUGUCCAUAUUGGUAAGAUAAGAAAGUGCACUAUUGGUUUUUCUAGUGGGUUGAUGAUAAAACCAAGGUGGACAAUGCUUCUAUUGAUGAAGAUCUGAGUAGGAAAAACGUUGAAGAACAGGCCUGCAUUUACCAGUUCCGUUGUAUUACUACCAAAUUGAAAGCUAUCCGUGUUACACUUACUUGAAUGUUAAUCUUGGGUUUUGGUGUUGUUCGGUUGAAUUUGAUAUUCCCUGCGUUCCGUCUAUUGUAAGCAUUUGGGUGAAUAAAUAGACACGAGAUUCUUACUUCAUAACUUGGAACCUAUUAAUAUCGUUCAAAGUACCUAGUACAACAUAUAUAUGGCCCCAUAUAUGGUGCCAUUACAGUAGGUAAUCAACAGAUAGAUAGUCCGCCCAAAUAGGAAUCGUUACCUAAACACAAAAUACAAAAGCUAUUUUGGAUUGUUCAUUCACCAACAUAGUGGUUAUAUAAUAUUUUUCCUAACUAAUCAACACCAUUACUUAUGACGAUGGUAGUUGAUCCAAAAUGGGUCUUCCUUCCUUCAUUCGUUAAACGCUUUUCACUGAGUACCAGGGGGUGGUGGUUGGGUUCCAAAUUCAUUAGGUGCCAUUACUAUAGGGUUGGUAGGUUCCCCUCCUCCGCAUAAUGUACCAUGUCAAUACAUCAUUGUACAUUUAGUUCAACGACCUAACCAUUAAGUGGCAUAACGAGAAGUGUUCGAAAUUAAGAAUAUUACCCUAUAAUACAUAUUACAGGUGUUGGGGUUGGUGUAGCCACCUGAACCUCAGCUUGUUAUUGUUCCCUACUGGUUCCCGGAUCAACAUUGGCCUGUCCAAAAUUGGAAGCGUCUCUUUAACCACUCCGUCAUUUGAAUCCCAAGUUGGCAUUAGUAAUUGAUGCUUUGUUUGUACAAUAAUCAUUUAAUAAUUAGUAUUUCUACAACCAAGUGAGAUUUCAGAUCUCGUUUGAAAAAGGCCAAAACACUACUAAUCUAAUGGAUGAAAAGAAGAAUCCCACAAAAAUUAGGGUUUUCAAAAAAAGCUUCCCUACUAAUCUAAUAGACGAAAAGGAGAUUCAGACAAAAAUUAGGGUUUUCAAAAAAACUUCGAAUACACCAGAAAACUUAAUUUACUAGUAUCCUUUAAGUCGAAAAGGGGGUUGUUGUAUCUGGAGCCGGACUACAAAGCUUUAUUAGGAAAGUUAGAUGAUUCCCUACUUUAUCUGUUGCUGACAUUCACAUGUGUUAUUGCCUUUUGUUGCAGUCAAACCUUAUCUCUUUAAGCCUUUAAGAAGCUCAACCAUUAGACCCAGAUCAAUGCAUCCACCGCCAGAUGCAGGGGACCCACUUACGGAGCCAACCUCCGCUCUAAAGGAAAC